rnacentral:rRNA from 1 species
GACGAACGCUGGCGGCGUGCCUAAUACAUGCAAGUAGAACGCUGAAGCGAGGAGCUUGCUCUUCUUGGAUGAGUUGCGAACGGGUGAGUAACGCGUAGGUAACCUGCCUUGUAGCGGGGGAUAACUAUUGGAAACGAUAGCUAAUACCGCAUAACAAUGGAUGACACAUGUCAUUUAUUUGAAAGGGGCAAUUGCUCCACUACAAGAUGGACCUGCGUUGUAUUAGCUAGUAGGUGAGGUAAUGGCUCACCUAGGCGACGAUACAUAGCCGACCUGAGAGGGUGAUCUGCCACACUGGGACUGAGACACGGCCCAGACUCCUACGGGAGGCAGCAGUAGGGGAUCUUCGGCAAUGGGGGCAACCCUGACCGAGCAACGCCGCGUGAGUGAAGAAGGUUUUCGGAUCGUAAAGCUCUGUUGUAAGUCAAGAACGGGUGUGAGAGUGGAAAGUUCACACUGUGACGGUAGCUUACCAGAAAGGGACGGCUAACUACGUG